UUAGACACUGCAAUGAGAAGCAAGAGCUCAUUUGAUUUCAGUAAGGUCCCAGCUGACUUCACGGUAAAUAUCAAGAGUCUGACUCAAAUGACAAGACCAGACUUUGCCCUUCCUCCUCUCAGCCUACUCAACGUGAAUAUAAUGAGGAUGAAGACCUUUGUAAUGACCUUUUCCCACAUAAUGAAUAGCCAUUGGGAGACACACUUCUGAACACCACCACUGGAAAAUCACACAUGCUGAAAUGGGAGAGUUCCCUGACCCCCUUGCAGGAUAUGUGACAGGAGUGUGGCUCAUCUGUUCAGCUGGAGUGCAUACUCAAACCCCUUAUGAGACAAGGAGUAUGCAGACAGAAGGUGCAGGAACUGGGAAGCAAAAUAUAAACUAGUUAAUUUGAUCUCCAAGAGUUAAGCGGUUUUAAUAUUACUGACAGUAAUAUCAGCAGUGGUGUUGGAACCCCAUGAUCUCAUGAAUCAUAGAUAGCAACUGCUUACUGGACAUUGAAGCUUUAUGGCCAGCUGCCAAAAAAAUAAAUGCACCUUAAUUUUUAAAUUGAAUUAUAAAGCCAAAAAUAUCCUAUUGCUCUAUUCCUCUUAUUUUGGUGUUUACAUGUGACUUUAUAAUUUCCUUCACUUGAAAGAUUUUAACUUUAAAGGAAACUUUACUCUGAACGUUUAGGACAAUUCAUAGAUAAUCAAAUUGAUUAUCAUGUUUUCAAUGUUAAAUAUUACUUCAUAUGUCUUUUUACAACCUUCAGAAUAAGAAAGCCAGCUAUGAAAUACCAAGUCUUGACUAGUAGUGCCACCUAGCAUCACAAAGAAAAAGUUGUUCAACUACUUUGCAAAGCAUUGGAAAUUUAUCAAAUCAUCUAAUAUACUAUCUCCUUGAUCCUUAAUCCAGAGGAAAAUAAGCAGACAUGAUCAAUUAGAAGAAAUGUACACAAAACCUAUGUAAUUUUAGAGAUAGUAUACUACAUAUUAUGAAUGUUUGUGUUUUAGUAAGAUGUAGUUAUGAGAUGUAGCAGUAAGAUAUAAUUUCUGGUUUGCUGACUGAUAUGCUACCGGUUUUUCCUACAAUUUAAGAAAACAUAUUGGGAUUCAAAUGAAUAAAAAUAAUGUUUGUGUACUGAAA
rnacentral:lncRNA from 1 species